AACGAACGCUGGCGGCGUGCUUAACACAUGCAAGUCGAACGAGAAAGGCUCUUCGGAGCUGAGUACAGUGGCGAACGGGUGAGUAACACGUGGGCAACCUGCCCCAAGGAGCGGGACAACCCGGGGAAACUCGGGCUAAUACCGCAUGAUUCGCGCGACCAUAAGGUCGUGCGGGAAAUGGUAGCUUCGGCCUCCGCCUUGGGAUGGGCCCGCGGCGCAUUAGCUUGUUGGUGUGGGUAACGGCCCACCAAGGCGAAGAUGCGUAGCUGGUCUGAGAGGACGAUCAGCCACACUGGGACUGAGACACGGCCCAGACUCCUACGGGAGGCAGCAGUGGGGAAUCUUGCGCAAUGGGCGGAAGCCUGACGCAGCAACGCCGCGUGUGGGAAGACGGCUUUCGGGUUGUAAACCACUUUCAGGGGGGACGAAGCUUCCGAGGUUAAUAGCCUACGGGGUGAUGGUACCCCCAGAAGAAGCCCCGGCUAACUACGUGCCAGCAGCCGCGGUAAGAC
rnacentral:rRNA from 1 species